rnacentral:rRNA from 1 species
GACGAACGCUGGCGGCGUGCCUAAUACAUGCAAGUCGAACGAAGCUGUUUUAACUGGUGCUUGCACCGACUUAAACAACUGAGUGGCGAACGGGUGAGUAACACGUGGGUAACCUGCCCCAAGGCGGGGGAUAACAUUUGGAAACAGAUGCUAAUACCGCAUAACCACAGAAACCACAUGGUUUCUGUGUCAAAGAUGGUUUCGGCUCUCACUUUGGGAGGGACACGCGGCGUAUUAGCUAGUUGGUAAGGUAAUGGCUUACCAAGGCAAUGAUACGUAGCCGAACUGAGAGGUUGAUCGGCCACAUUGGGACUGAGACACGGCCCAAACUCCUACGGGAGGCAGCAGUAGGGAAUCUUCCACAAUGGACGAAAGUCUGAUGGAGCAACGCCGCGUGAGUGAAGAAGGUUUUCGGAUCGUAAAACUCUGUUGUCAGAGAAGAACGUGUGCGAGAGUAACUGCUCGUGCAGUGACGGUAUCUGGCCAGAAAGCCACGGCUAACUACGUGCCAGCCGCCGCAGUAA